rnacentral:rRNA from 1 species
UACGUAGGGUGCAAGCGUUGUCCGGAAUUAUUGGGCGUAAAGGGCUCGUAGGCGGCUUACUACGUCAGCCGUGAAAUCCCUCAGCUUAACUGGGGAACUGCGUCUGAUACUGGAUGGCUUGGAUUCGGGAGAGGGAUGCGGAAUUCCAGGUGUAGCGGUGAAAUGCGUAGAUAUCUGGAGGAACACCGGUGGCGAAGGCGGCAUCCUGGACCGAUAUUGACGCUGAGGAGCGAAAGCUAGGGGAGCAAACAGG